rnacentral:rRNA from 1 species
CAGCCGCCGCGGUAAUACGGAGGGUGCAAGCGUUGUCCGGAUUUAUUGGGUUUAAAGGGUGCGUAGGCGGCUAUUUAAGUCAGCGGUGAAAGACUCCGGCUCAACCGGAGCAGUGCCAUUGAUACUGGAUAGCUUGAGUGUUGGAGGGGUACAUGGAAUUGAUGGUGUAGCGGUGAAAUGCAUAGAUACCAUCAGGAACACCGAUAGCGAAGGCAUUGUACUGGCCAACAACUGACGCUGAGGCACGAAAGCAUGGGGAGCGAACAGGAUUAGAUACCCCAGUAGUCCCUGUCUCUUAUAC